rnacentral:rRNA from 1 species
AGAUCCCUACGGGCGCAGCAGUGAGGAAUAUUGGUCAAUGGACGAGAGUCUGAACCAGCCAAGUAGCGUGAAGGAUGACUGCCCUAUGGGUUGUAAACUUCUUUUAUAUGGGAAUAAAAUGUUCCACGUGUGGGAUUUUGUAUGUACCAUAUGAAUAAGGAUCGGCUAACUCCGUGCCAGCAGCCGCGGUAAUACGGAGGAUCCGAGCGUUAUCCGGAUUUAUUGGGUUUAAAGGGAGCGUAGAUGGGUUGUUAAGUCAGUUGUGAAAGUUUGCGGCUCAACCGUAAAAUUGCAAUUGAUACUGG